rnacentral:misc_RNA from 1 species
AAAGUCGUAACAAGGUUUCCGUAGGUGAACCUGCGGAAGGAUCAUUAAAGAGUAUUAAGGUUAUUGUCUAUUCUCUCUUGAAUGGAUCAAUGCCUUUUUCAUUCUCUACCCCUCAUAUAUUUCUAUUUCCAGUUGCUUUGGUGAUGGUCAUUCUGAUCAUUGCCAAGGGAAAUUUAUAAACCCUUUUUGUUAUCCAAUAAUUGGUUACUUAUUGUCUGAUUUUUAAUGCUUAAAUAGUAUUUAAAACUUUCAACAAUGGAUCUCUUGGUUCUG